GUUGAACUUUUAUGAAUUUUUCAGAAUCACUACUGAAACAUGAUAAAAGUUUAAUAGGACUAAAAAUACUUGCAGCUCACAGGAGGACCUAGGAGUUACAGAAUGUCAUCCAAAACCUCCAAGGAAAUGGUGGGUUGGUAGGAAGGUUUGCCUUUUUAGGAAAAUAAUGCGGACAUCAUGUAAGAAGUGAGUGGAAUUUUGGUUGUUUGGUUGGAAGAUGGGUAGGUGUGAUGGUUGGUAGGUAGGUAAGUUGGUUGGUUGGUUGGUAUGUAGGUAAGUUGGUUGGUUGGUAGGUUGUUUGGAUGGUAGGUAGGUAAGUUGGAUGGCAUGGUAGGUUGGAUGGUUGUGGUUGGUAGGUAGGUAAGUUGGGUGGUAGGAAGGUAGGUAGGUAGUUUGGUUGGUUGAAUGGACAGUUGGUUGGUUGCUAGGAAAGUAGGUAGGUAGGUAAGUUGGUUGGUUGGUAGGUAGGUAGGUAAGUUGGUAGGUUGUUUGGAUGGUAGGUUGGUUGGUUGGUUGGUAGGAAAGUUGGUUGGUUGGUUGGUAGGAAGGUAGGUAGGUAGGUAGGUUGGCUGGUUGGUAGGAAAGUAGGUAGGUAGGUAGGUAGGUUGGUAGGAAAGUAGGUAGGUAGUAGGGUAGGUUGGUUGGUUGGUAGGAAAGUAGGUAGGUAGGGUGGUAGGUUGGUUGGUUGGUAGGAAAGUAGGUAGGUAGGUAGGUAGGUUGGUUGGUUGGUAGGAAAGUAGGUAGGUAGGUAGGUAGGUUGGUUGGUUGGUAGGAAAGUAGGUAGGUAGGAGGAAGGUAGGUUGGUUGGUUGGUUGGUAGGAAAGUAGGUAGGUAGGUAAGUUGGAUGGUAGGGUAGGUUGGUUGGUUGGUUGGUUGGUUGGUAGGUAGGUAAAUUGGUUGGUUGGAAGGUAUGUACUUCUAUUCUGAUUUAUCCUUUCCUUGCAUAACCGAGGAAUCGUACAUCUUUUAUGAAGCAUGUCAGGAAAAAGCUUUGCAGUUACAUUUUUACAUGACACAUCCCACACACAUCCCACACACACACACACUUUCUGUAUUUCCUACAGGGCAUAUGAAGACACAGACACACUGAAACAGAUUCACAAAGUAAAACCUGAUUAAAGGCAUAACGCAGAAUAAUUGAUGACCUGAGCUCAAAAAAGCAAAGCAGUCCAGAAGGUUCAGUAUGUUCAAUACGGAUUACAGAUUAUAAUCCUCAAAUA
ensembl:lncRNA